GCCUUCGCGUAGCUCAGCGGAUAGAGCGACCGUGAUUCAAUCGGGAGGUCAUGGGUUGGAGCCCCGUCGCGGACA